AAAACGACUCUCGGCAACGGAUAUCUCGGCUCUCGCAUCGAUGAAGAACGUAGCGAAAUGCGAUACUUGGUGUGAAUUGCAGAAUCCCGCGAACCAUCGAGUCUUUGAACGCAAGUUGCGCCCCAAGCCUUCUGGCCGAGGGCACGUCUGCCUGGGUGUCA
rnacentral:rRNA from 1 species